rnacentral:tRNA from 1 species
GGGCGCUUAGCUCAGCUGGGAGAGCGUCUGGUUUACACCCAGAAGGUCGGGGGUCCGAUCCCCUCAGCGCCCA